GUAGAUAAAAACAUAUUUUCUUAUUACAUUGUCAUGUUAGUAUGAUUAUAAAUAUAUUAUGAGGUAAGGAAAUAGUUUAACAUGUAGAUGGAACAUUAGACGUAAAUGUUUUAUUCUUUUUUGUAGUUUUGGUAUAAUAUAAAGUAACACUUGACCUAUCAUUGUAUAUUAUUGUUGUUUCUAUGACACUACGGUAUAACCGAGUAUCCUUUUGUUAGUAUGAAAGUACCCCAUUUUGUAUGAAGGAUGUUUUGAAAAUGAAAACUCUUUAUGCAUACUUUGUUUUGAUAUUGGAGUGUUACAAGUUGAUAUGGAAGUCGUGGGUUAAGAGAAGUAUGCAUAUCCCAUGUGUGGGAAGUUUUCCCUGGAAAUCCCUUUGGGGUCUGAGUUUUCCCCAUAAAUGAGCUCGAACUCGGGGUCACCAUUGAAAUAUUAUGGUGAGGCUUCCGCUGAAUCGUUUGUCGUUUAAAAAAAAGUAUGCAUAUGAAGGUUUAUUCUUAAACUUAAUUUAGUCAUAAGGAAAGGAGGAAUAAUAGUUGACUAGAUCUUUUUGGUCGUAGGUUAGCCAACUAUUAGACACAUCCUAAAAAUAAAUAAGUGCCCAAUGAUGUAAUAUGGUAUGUAAAUGAAAAGUAUACAAGUUUUGUUUUAGAAAACGGGUUGUAAAUAUGAGAAAAUUUUAACAAAAAUGUGGAAUUAUGAGAGCAAAUAGAAGAGUGCAAGGAUUAUGCUCCAAGUUUACAUGUUUAAAGAAACGUGUAAGGGUCCAAGAAGAAAGAUAAAAACAUAAGAUUUUCAAGAGGUCUGACCUUUAACAUUUUGUAAAAGUAAUCAAAGGGUAGCGAAGACCCUUUGUAAUGACAUUAAAAGUUGGUUGAUGGGUUUCAGAAGGGGAUUACAAUACAUUUCAUUCAUGUUAACCUUGAGAAGGCAUAUAGAUGAUACAUGUAUAAGAUGUGUAUCUAGCUUGGUUGAAAGUUGAGUGUCUUAGUUGAUAACAUCACAAGUAUGAUAUAUAUUUAGUAAACUUUACCACCAAGGGGAUCCCAAUUAGAAAUGGGUGUGAUUUUCAAGGCUUGUAUGGACUUUUUAUGUUUAUUAUAUGGAAAGUGAGAUUUCCUUAGGAUACAAAUUUGACCGAUUUUCUUAUCACGUUUGGAUCAAUUUUUGUUUUUGUUCUAACAUAAGCUUUAAUCAAUUUCGAUUCUUAUAUGAGUUUUUAAUCAAUCAUAAAAUGAAAAAAGACAUUGUCAUGAGAAUGAUAGAUGUAAUUUUAUAUAGCACAAACCAUUCUCUAAGAAUGAGAAUCACAUUCCAAUUGAUCUUCUUAUCAUUCUUAUCAUUAUGUAGUAUCAUUCCAAUUGAUCUUCUUAUCAUUAUUAUCAUUAUAUGAGAAUAUAGUAUAAAACUGAAAUCAUAUUUGAGAAUUUAUAUAUGUGAGAAUUAUUUUUUUGGUGCUAAUAUAAUUCGAGAAAGAAUAAAAGACAUUCUUAAGAGAAUAAGAGACAUUAUUGAAAGAAUAAGACAUAAAUUACAAGUGUACAAGUUGUAUUCUCAUCAUUGAAAGAAUAAGAUAGGAGUUACAAGUAUAAAACCGACAUUUAAAGAAUAAGACAUUCUUGAUAAUUCUCAUCAUUUUUACCUUUCGAGACUGAUGCAUAUGUGUCUUUUACAACAACAAUAAAGAAAUUGCAACCCCUCCAUAUUUUUUAAUUGAAUACUAGGUAAGCCUCAAGUAAGAUGGAGACCCACCCCUUCAUUAUUUCUAAUAAACCAACAGGUCUGGAAAAGAGAAUAACGAUGCAUAGGGUGUGGCUGUUUAGUUUGAGUUAAAGGUGAAAAUAAAAAAUAAAGAACAUAUUAUUAACCUCCUUCAUUAUAAUCAACAUGAAACUUAAUUUUAGCUUUUGAUGGAGACCCACCCCUUCAUUAUUUCUAAUAAACCAACAGGUUUGGAAAAGAGAAUAACGAUGCAUAGGGUGUGGCUGUUUAGUUUGAGUUAAAGGUGAAAAUAAAAAAUAAAGAACAUAUUCUUAACCUCCUUCAUUAUAAUCAACAUGAAACUUAAUUUUAGCUUUUGAAGUUUCUGAUUUUUGCAAAGUUCAUUUUCUUGCUCGUUAGCAUUUUACUCAACAAUUGUUACUUGAUCUUUCAUUACAAUUAUACACCAAUCAUUAUUGUUGAUUUGACAUUUAAUUCGACAUACGAAUAUGGUAAUAUGAGCCUAAUGAUAUGAUGAAGAAGAAAUCAAUUGACCAUGAUCUUCAUAUAACCAAUAAACACGAUCUUUGCAAAAUUCCUUAAUUAACUGCUUUUAUUUUAGGUUAUUAAAAU
rnacentral:lncRNA from 1 species